CCCGAGUGCUUGCACUCAAUUGGAAAGAGGAGUGGCGGACGGGUGAGUAACACGUGGGUAACCUACCCAUCAGAGGGGGAUAACACUUGGAAACAGGUGCUAAUACCGCAUAACAGUUUAUGCCGCAUGGCAUAAGAGUGAAAGGCGCUUUCGGGUGUCGCUGAUGGAUGGACCCGCGGUGCAUUAGCUAGUUGGUGAGGUAACGGCUCACCAAGGCCACGAUGCAUAGCCGACCUGAGAGGGUGAUCGGCCACACUGGGACUGAGACACGGCCCAGACUCCUACGGGAGGCAGCAGUAGGGAAUCUUCGGCAAUGGACGAAAGUCUGACCGAGCAACGCCGCGUGAGUGAAGAAGGUUUUCGGAUCGUAAAACUCUGUUGUUAGAGAAGAACAAGGACGUUAGUAACUGAACGUCCCCUGACGGUAUCUAACCAGAAAGCCACGGCUAACUACGUGCCAGCAGCCGCGGUAAUACGUAGGUGGCAAGCGUUGUCCGGAUUUAUUGGGCGUAAAGCGAGCGCAGGCGGUUUCUUAAGUCUGAUGUGAAAGCCCCCGGCUCAACCGGGGAGGGUCAUUGGAAACUGGGAGACUUGAGUGCAGAAGAGGAGAGUGGAAUUCCAUGUGUAGCGGUGAAAUGCGUAGAUAUAUGGAGGAACACCAGUGGCGAA
rnacentral:rRNA from 1 species